rnacentral:rRNA from 1 species
CCUACGGGUGGCAGCAGUGAGGAAUAUUGGUCAAUGGCCGGAAGGCUGAACCAGCCAAGCCGCGUGAAGGAAGAAGGUACUGUGGUUUGUAAACUUCUUUUGUAGGGGGAUAAAGGUAUAGACGUGUAGACAUGUGCAUGUACCCUAAGAACAAGCAUCGGCUAACUCCGGGCCAGCAGCCGCGGUAAUACGGAGGAUGCGAGCGUUAUCCGGAUUUAUUGGGUUUAAAGGGUGCGUAGGUGGUUUGUUAAGUCAGCGGUGAAAGGUAGUGGCUUAACCCUACAAUUGCCGUUGAAACUGGAAGGCUUGAGUGUGUGAGAGGGAGGCGGAAUGCGCGGUGUAGCGGUGAAAUGCAUAGAUAUGUCGCAGAACUCCGAUUGCGAAGGCAGCUUACUGGGACAUAACUGACGCUGAGGCACGAAAGCGUGGGGAUCAAACAGGAUUAGAUACCCGAGUAGUC